rnacentral:tRNA from 1 species
GUUUUAGUAGUUUAAAGAAAACUUUGGUCUUGUAAAUCAAUAAUAAGAUAUUCUUCUAAAACU